rnacentral:rRNA from 1 species
GACGAACCGUGCGAACGUUGUUCGGAUUCACUGGGCUUAAAGGGUGUGUAGGCGGUCUGCCAAGUCAGGGGUGAAAUCUUUCGGCUCAACCGGAAAACUGCCUUUGAUACUGGCAGGCUCGAGCGGGGUAGGGGUUGCGGGAACUACCAGUGGAGCGGUGAAAUGCGUUGAUAUUGGUAGGAACGCCGGUGGCGAAAGCGCGCAACUGGACCUCUUCUGACGCUGAAACACGAAAGCUAGGGGAGCAAACGGG